UAGGGAAUCUUCCACAAUGGACGCAAGUCUGAUGGAGCAACGCCGCGUGAGUGAAGAAGGUUUUCGGACCGUAAAGCUCUGUUGUUGGUGAAGAAGGAUAGAGGUAGUAACUGGCCUUUAUUUGACGGUAAUCAACCAGAAAGUCACGGCUAACUACGUGCCAGCAGCCGCGGUAAUACGUAGGUGGCAAGCGUUGUCCGGAUUUAUUGGGCGUAAAGCGAGCGCAGGCGGAAGAAUAAGUCUGAUGUGAAAGCCCUCGGCUUAACCGAGGAAUUGCAUCGGAAACUGUUUUCUUGAGUGCAGAAGAGGAGAGUAGAACUCCAUGUGUAGCGGUGGAAUGCGUAGAUAUAUGGAAGAAUACCAGUGGCGAAGGCGGCUCUCUGGUCUGCAAACUGACGCUGAGGCUCGAAAGCAUGGGUAGCGAACAG
rnacentral:rRNA from 1 species